UACGGGGGGUCAAGCGUUGUUCGGAAUUACUGGGCGUAAAGGGCUUGUAGGUGGCCAACUAAGUCAGACGUGAAAUCCCUCGGCUUAACCGGGGAACUGCGUCUGAUACUGGAUGGCUUGAGUGUGGGAGAGGGAUGCGGAAUUCCAGGUGUAGCGGUGAAAUGCGUAGAUAUCUGGAGGAACACCGGUGGCGAAGGCGGCAUCCUGGACCAUUACUGACACUGAAAAGCGAAAGCCAGGGGAGCAAACGGG
rnacentral:rRNA from 1 species